rnacentral:rRNA from 1 species
UUUUGUCUUUAUGGCAAAUAUGGGAUGCAGUGUAUGGAACAUCAAUAAUCUAGUAUGAGAAAUUAACGAUUUAAGUCCUUCUUAAAUGAGGCCAUUUACCCAUAGAGGGUGCCAGGCCCGUAUAACGUUAAUGAUUACUAGAAGAUGCUUCCAAAGAGUCGUGUUGCUUGAUAGUGCAGCACUAAGUGGGUGGUAAACUCCAUCUAAAACUAAAUAUAACCAUGAGACCGAUAGUAAACAAGUACCGUGAGGGAAAGUUGAAAAGAACUCUGAAUAGAGAGUUAAAUAGUACGUGAAACUGCUUAGAGGUUAAGCCCGAUGAACCUGAAUAUCCAUUAUGGAAAAUUCAAUAUUAAGAAAAUAGUAUGCAAUUUUUCCAUAUAAGGACAUUGUAAUCUGUUAAUGUUAUAAAUAUUUAUCAAAAGAUCUAAUACUUAAGUUUAUUUAAAUUCAACAUAAAAUAAAUGUGUUAGAUUGGAUAAAUCAUUGACAGAUCGAAUUAUAUAUUGUGCAUAAAUUCUUCGGAAUUUUUCAGUAUUGCCUGCAUAAUUAUGAUUGACAAUGCGAUAGAUUCAGGAUACCUUCGGGACCCGUCUUGAAACACGGACCAAGGAGUCUAACAUAUGUGCAAGUCAUUGGGUAUUUUUAAUAAAACCCAAUGGCAUAAUUAACUUAACUGUUGAGAUUAAUUUAUAUUUAUUCAAUCUCGGGGCGUUCUAUACAGUUAUGCAUAAUAAUAUUUAUAUUAUUUAUGCCUCUAACUAGAGCGUACCUUGAGCAUAUAUGCUGUGACCCGAAAGAUGGUGAACUAUACUUGAUCAGGUUGAAGUCAGGGGAAACCCUGAUGGAAGACCGAAACAGUUCUGACGUGCAAAUCGAUUGUCAGAAUUGAGUAUAGGG